GCUUGUGGGAUGCCCUCGUGUGUCCGCCAUCGGCUCCUCCCUUUAUUACAGCAUAAGCAUGUUUUGUUUCUUGCUCCCAAACAGCCCAUGAUUAACGUGCCAGGAUCUGCAAAAACACUCUGAGCGAGGCUGUGUAGCAAAGCCGUUUGGGCGAGGAAAAGGAGUCUCAGAUGGACUUUCACAUAAAGUUGGAGCUGAGAGAACAUCCAGACCUGCAGCUUUUUAAGAGUCUACUGUUAUCACAUCUGCAGGACCUUCAGGAAAUUGUAAGGAACUUCCAGUUUCCCU
rnacentral:lncRNA from 1 species